rnacentral:lncRNA from 1 species
AGGUCUCACUAUGUUUCCCAGGCUGGUCUCCAACUCCUGGGCUCAAGCAAUCCUCCUACCUCAGCCUCUCAAAGUGCUGGGAUUACAGGCAUGAGCCACUGUGUCCAGCCACCUGGGCUAAUCUUAUUUUCCAUCCUAGUUAAUGACAUUAAUGCUUACAGAGAAGCAGUUUUAUCAAAUGCCACUGUUGCCUGUCACAUAACAAUGGCAACCAGCACACAAGAGCAAUCACCAUGAUGUGUAUGUGCUAGCAGAGUCCUUUUUUUUUUUUUUUUUUUGAAGAAAGGUUCUCACUCUGUUGCUCAGCCUGGAGUGUAGUGGCGUGAUCUUGGCUCACUGCAGCCUCAACCUACCAGGCUCAAGAGAUCCUCCCGCCUCAGAACUCUGUCUCUACUAAAAUAACGACAACAACAAAAAAUAGCCGGGCGUGGUGGCGGGGAAUCACUUGACCCCAGGAGGUGGAGCUUGCAGUGAGCCGAGAUUGCGCCAUUGCACUCCAGCCUGAGAGACAGAGCGAGAUUCCAUCUCCGAGAUUCCUUCUCAAAAAAAAUUUUAAAAAAAGUAAUAUCUGCAAAGUGCAAUAAAGCAAAGCGCAAUAAAAUGAGGUGUGCUCAUAACAGCCAAUGCAAAGGCCUGAGGCACGAGGGUGCCUGCAGGUCCCAGGCACAGCACAGAGACCAAAUAGGCUGAAACAGAGUGAGCAGGAGGAAGAGUAGGCCAGACACGGUGCUCACGCCUGUAAUCCCAGAAAAGAGUUGUUUGCAUAUUCUGGAUGUUAGGCCCUUAUCAGAUAGACAUUUUGCAAAUAUAGUCCUCCAUUCUGUGGAUUGUCUUUUCACUAUCUUGUUGGUAUCCUUUAACCUGCAAUGCUUUUAAUUUUAGUAAAGUUUGAUUUAUCUUAAUUUAUUUUUUCUUUGAUUCUUGUGCUUAUUUCUAAGAAACCAUUUCCUAAUUCAAAAUCAUAGAGAUUUUCACCUGUUUCCCCGUUUUUUUUUUUUGAGACAGGGUCUCCUUCCGCUGCCCAGGCUGGAGUACAGUGGUGCGAUGUCGGCUCACUGCAGCCUCAACCUCCCAGGCUCAAGUGCUCCUCCCACCUCAGCCUCCCAAGAAGCACACCAUCAUGCCUGGUAAAUUUU